rnacentral:rRNA from 1 species
GAUGAACGCUGGCGGCGUGCCUAAUACAUGCAAGUCGAGCGAACAGACGAGGAGCUUGCUCCUCUGACGUUAGCGGCGGACGGGUGAGUAACACGUGGAUAACCUACCUAUAAGACUGGGAUAACUUCGGGAAACCGGAGCUAAUACCGGAUAAUAUAUUGAACCGCAUGGUUCAAUAGUGAAAGACGGUGUUGCUGUCACUUAUAGAUGGAUCCGCGCCGCAUUAGCUAGUUGGUAAGUUAACGGCUUACCAAGGCAACGAUGCGUAGCCGACCUGUGAGGGUGAUCGCCCACACUGGAACUGAGACACGGUCCAGACUCCUACGGGAGGCAGCAGUAGGGAAUCUUCCGCAAUGGGCGAAAGCUUGACGGAGCAACGCCGCGUGAGUGAUGAAGGUCUUCGGAUCGUAAAACUCUGUUAUUAGGGAAGAACAAAUGUGUAAGUAACUAUGCACGUCUUGACGGUACCUAAUCAGAAAGCCACGGCUAACUACGUG